GCCUAACACAUGCAAGUCGAACGAUCCUUCGGGAUAGUGGCGGACGGGUGAGUAACACGUGGGAACGUGCCUUUUGGUUCGGAAUAACUGAGGGAAACUUCAGCUAAUACCGGAUGAGCCCUACGGGGGAAAGAUUUAUCGCCGAAAGAGCGGCCCGCGUUAGAUUAGCUAGUUGGUGGGGUAAAGGCCCACCAAGGCUCCGAUCUAUAGCUGGUCUGAGAGGAUGAUCAGCCACACUGGGACUGAGACACGGCCCAGACUCCUACGGGAGGCAGCAGUGGGGAAUCUUGCGCAAUGGGCGAAAGCCUGACGCAGCCAUGCCGCGUGAAUGAUGAAGGUCUUAGGAUUGUAAAAUUCUUUUAGCAGGGACGAUAAUGACGGUACCUGCAGAAAAAGCCCCGGCUAACUUCGUGCCAGCAGCCGCGGUAAUACGAAGGGGGCUAGCGUUGCUCGGAAUUACUGGGCGUAAAGGGAGCGUAGGCGGGUUAUCAAGUUGGAGGUGAAAGCCCAGGGCUCAACCUUGGAAUUGCCUUCAAAACUGAUAGCCUAGAGUAUGGAAGAGGUAAGUGGAACUCCGAGUGUAGAGGUGAAAUUCGUAGAUAUUCGGAAGAACACCAGUGGCGAAGGCGACUUACUGGUCCAUGACUGACGCUGAGGCUCGAAAGCGUGGGGAGCAAACAGGAUUAGAUACCCUGGUAGUCCACGCUGUAAACGAUGAUUGCUAGUUGUCGGUCGGCAUGCCGUUCGGUGACGCAGCUAACGCAUUAAGCAAUCCGCCUGGGGAGUACGGUCGCAAGAUUAAAACUCAAAGGAAUUGACGGGGGCCC
rnacentral:rRNA from 1 species